rnacentral:rRNA from 1 species
UACAGAGGGGCAAGCGUUAUUCGGAAUUAUUGGCGUAAAGGGCGCGUAGGCGGCCUGGCAAGUGGAAGGUGAAAUCCCUCGGCUUAACCGAGGAACUGCCCUCCAAACUGCUUGGCUUGAGUCCGGGAGAGGUGAGUGGAAUUCCCAGUGUAGCGGUGAAAUGCGUAGAUAUUGGGAGGAACACCAGUGGCGAAGGCGGCUCACUGGACCGGAACUGACGCUGAGGCGCGAAAGCGUGGGGAGCAAACGGG